GUAGGCAAGCUGCGGAGUGACGCAGGAAGGUAGCCCAUCCCGGGCGAUGGUAGUCCCGGGCUAAGUGCGUAGGGCGAGGUGUAGGUAAAUCCGCACCUCACGUGCCUGAGACAUGAUGGCUGGUUCGUCUACGGACGGACGAGUGGGUGAUCCUAUGCUGCCUAGAAAAGCAUCGGCGCGAGGUUCAAACUGCCCGUACCCUAAACCGACACAGGUGGUCAGGUAGAG
rnacentral:rRNA from 1 species